CUCCCUCCCUCUCCACUGUAGGGUUGGGUAUCGUUAGGAUUUUUACGAUUCCGAUGCCAAACUGGUACUUUUAAAAUGACUCUGAUUCCUAAACCCAUUCUUGAA